UUCAGAUGUCCAAACUUUAAAGAUCAAAAUUAUUAAAAUGGAUAGUUCAACUGAACUUACAUAAUUCUAAUCAUGAACAAAAUAAACUUAGUAUUAUGAAAUCAUUACAUCUGGCUAAUUAUUCUAAUAAUUGCAGCUAUAACUUCAUUGAAAAGCUAUACAAGUACUCAUGUUAAACCCCAAAAUCUGUCUAUCAAGUGAAAGAAGAAAGUUAUAACUAACAUUACAAUGUACCAUUAUUUACAUUCAAACUCCAAAUAAGCUGCAUAAACAGGCUAGUAUAACUAUGACUCUCACAUUUAUCAUUUCAUAAUACAAUUAAAUAAAAGUUGUUCCUAACUGCAGCCUAAUAAAUAUAGAUCCUUCACGAGACCAUUAGCUUUCAGAUUGCGCCUGAAUCUCCAACGAUGCUCUUGGACGUUAUUUCGGCCUCAAUGUUUACAGAUUUGGCCAAUUAUGGUCAAGUCUUCAAAUUAUGGCACUGCGGAUAGUAAACAACAAAUCAUCCUUACUCCCAACUUUAAUAGGAAACAUCUUACCAUAUUCAAAGUAUGGUAAUGGCACUUUACUUGAAUUCUAUGUAUUGAUAAUCCAUGACAUCACACAAAUCAACAAACAAUCAUUCAAACUCUGAAGGAGAAGACAAAUUCAGACUUAAAACUAGAGCUUGCAGCUAUAAAAGUACAAUUCAUCAAACAACAAGUGAAGAACUAUUGCAAUUUUUCACGGUAAUAUAGUAUUAUAAUGACAGUUACAUCACUAGAGAUUAGAAGUAGUACCUUGACAGCAGUAAAAACAACAAGAAAAUAAGAUUAUGACUUGGAGAAAUGCAGCUAAAUAGAGUCAGCUUCAGCUUAAUCAAACAGUAUCAAACAACAAAAAUGAAGCCCCACGAAACUUCAAACCCAGAACUUGAAAAGAAAUAGCUAUCCAAUGAUGAAGCAAGCUAAUGAAAACAAUUGGUUUUUUUUUGUUGUUUCUGAAAUGUCAAAGUUGGUUUUCCAGAAAUUUUCUUUACUAAAAAUGAAAAUGAAGACAAUGGACUCUCAAAAAUCAAUGUAGAAUUAGUGAGGAAAUGCAAGGAGUAAUUCUGACUUCAGGGUGCUUUUUCGUGUGUCUUUUUCUGCAGAGAAUUCCUCUCUUAUAUAGAAUAUAUGAGAGCCUUAUUAGAGAAUGAGAUAAGGUACAAAAAGAAUCUACCCUCCUUCCAUAAAUUCAGGGGAAUGACAUCUUUUUGUACCAGAAAAUGGACAGCCGUAUCUAAAUUCAACAUCUUAUCUCAACAAUAUCGGGACAGA
rnacentral:lncRNA from 1 species